ensembl:lncRNA
CUGGAAUUGGCAAAAAGAUUGGUGACAACUUUCCCUUUGUACUUGACCCUAAAAUUCCAGGAAAUUUCUCAAUAUUGUGUCAUCAGACACAAUAUUGUGUCAUUCCUCUAGAUAGCAUUAUCUUGGCUUCCAGUCAGGGUUUUAAUAGUUUUGCAAUUUUCAUUAGUUUUUAUUUUUAUUUAGUUUUGACUUCAGAUUUUCAAUUUUAUAUCAGUUUUAAUUAGUUUUUACCAAUUGUUUGCUACUUUAGUUUAGUUUUUAUUUUUUUGAAAAUCCUUAGUUUCGAUUUAUUUUAGCUGUGUUUGCAAUAAUUAAGUGUAACAAAAGGUCAACAGGUCGCCUGUCUGUCGCAGGGCUAACACGCAGAGACAGACAACUCACAUUUCCACCUAUGGGUUCUCAGUGUUGGGGAGUAACGGAAUACAUGUACCGCCAUUACGUAUUUAGAAUACAAAAUAUGAGUAACUGUAUUCCGUUACAGUUACCGUUUAAAAAGGUGGUAUUCAGAAUACAGUUACUUUGUUGAAAUAAAUGGAUUACACUGCGGUACUUUCCUGUUUCAUGUUGUCGCGGGUCAGGACUGUUUGGGUUUUGUUUGACAGCUACGUGCUGUUGUUCCAGGCGGCAGCGUUACGGUUGCCAUGGUUACAGGGUGACUCUCUCUCUGUGUGUUUCCUGGGUGAGAGAGCGCCUUUUCGUUGUUGUUGUGCUAAGCUAACAGGCAGAAUGCUACAAGCAUAGCUCUAAAGAAUGUAGCAUCAUGGGCAGUGUAGUCCGUGUUGCAGGGAGAAUGGACUGCCAUACACGUUAUGGGUCUGUGAGCGAGGGAGGGAAAAAAAGGAAAAGUACGAGUUGUCAUCGAGGAAAAACGGGAGCUGGAAGCAUGUAAAUAUAAUAAUAACCACUGCAGCCAAGAAGAGUGCCUGACGAGCCCAGUUGUAAGUAAGCUAUUAAGACUCGACUGUACACCGUGUUCGUGUUUUCCUCCGAAAACAAUAAGUUCCGUUGGAGCAGCCUUUCAACGCCUCUCUCUGUCUCUCGCAAG